AGUGAACGCUGGUGGUAGGCCUAACACAUGCAAGUCGAACGGCAGCACAGUAAGAGCUUGCUCUUACGGGUGGCGAGUGGCGGACGGGUGAGGAAUACAUCGGAAUCUACUUUUUUGUGGGGGAUAACGUAGGGAAACUUACGCUAAUACCGCAUACGACCUACGGGUGAAAGCAGGGGAUCUUCGGACCUUGCGCGAUUGAAUGAGCCGAUGUCGGAUUAGCUAGUUGGCGGGGUAAAGGCCCACCAAGGCGACGAUCCGUAGCUGGUCUGAGAGGAUGAUCAGCCACACUGGAACUGAGACACGGUCCAGACUCCUACGGGAGGCAGCAGUGGGGAAUAUUGGACAAUGGGCGCAAGCCUGAUCCAGCCAUACCGCGUGGGUGAAGAAGGCCUUCGGGUUGUAAAGCCCUUUUGUUGGGAAAGAAAAGCAGCAGGUUAAUACCCCGCUGUUCUGACGGUACCCAAAGAAUAAGCACCGGCUAACUUCGUG
rnacentral:rRNA from 1 species